CCGGGAUGCCGAGGUAUAAAACAGGGCGGAAUAGGUGUAGGGCUUUGGUGGUGGUCGAGGAGGCGAAGGUAGCAAGAAGGUGGUUGCGGAUCGAAGUAGCCUUGGCAUGGGAGUAGGGGAGGGGUGGCGUACCGGCGCCGCGAGCGGAGGAGGGCGACGACGGCGGCGGGAAGCGAAGAAUGGUGACUAGCGGCGGCUUCGAGGCAGCGGGCCACACGCGAGAGGCCGCCCUUUCCUUUGAGUAAAUCGACCUUUCUUACACGUUAAAGACAUCGUAACAGACAACCUAAUUAAUCACAGGGUGGUUGUAAACCUACCAGCCGGGUACGUAUAGGAGAGCUUGGACAUUAAGGACUAUAAAGUCAAGAAUAAAGACCUGGAGGGUAAUUUCUAGGUCCACGAAACAACUCUAUACGAAACGGGUAUCUAUUAUUUCGAUAAGCACUUCAAGUUUUUGGCGAUCUCCUAUAAUGGCUAUCAGAGUUUCAAAGACCACAAUCUCGCAACCUAAGUCAACUUUCUUUACACUCCGUCCGGAGUUCUCGCGACUGAUUACCCUCCUCAAAUUAUGAAAGCCCAGAACGACUUAGUUUCUCUCGUUUGCCUCUUUUUUGUAACCUAUUUAAUCGACAACCUGAACUUCUCGAAGUUGCUUAAUAACUCCUAUCUUUGUCCUUACGCCAUCGAGGUUUCGUCUUUCUCGAAGAGUUAAUACAACCUUGGACUCUAGAAGGACCCUGUAACGUAAAGACGUCACAUCUUCUUCUAUACCAGCUACCGAAGGGGAUACUUCAUGGUCUUCUUAUGUUGUUGUACGGAGAAGAAUUUCCUUCUCGAUGACACCUAUACUGCCAAUUCUAAUUUCUAUUAGGUUUGCAUCUUCUAACACAUAAAGCCUAUCAAGACCUACCUAUAUUACGAGGACACUGAAGACCCUUGAAGCAUCUAGACCACCUUGCCUUCAAGAUACUACCGUACCUUUAGGUUUCUCGACUACCAAAACAACAAGUCUGCCCUCUAGGGCUCCCUGGUCGGCUCCCAAAAUAACUAGGGCCAUGACCGUUCUCAGCAUGGUAUGGAGAACUCUAUUACCAACUACCACUGUUCCGCGGAUAUAUACCGCUUUGUGAACUCCUUGAACCAGAAAUGUUCCGAGUUUGUUUCGAAGGAAAAUUACGUAAACCUUGCUACCGUUACCGAUCUCUUCUUAAACUACUGUUGAGGCGAAGAUCAGUUCAGAAGACCGAGAACUUUCUUUCACUCGACUGCGGUUCGUUAAGGUUAUAUAACCUACCCGCCAUAAGCCACAAACCUAUACAUUGGCUUUUACUCCUAAAGAACCGACUAGAGUUCCAACCCCUGCAAUAACUUAGUUAGGUCCAACAGAGUCCGGAUCUGUUAGAACAGUUGGGCUCGAUGUUCUAAAAUCCCAUCGUACAAAGACAUAUAUUCUCAAGAAACUGUCCGUUAACAAGAUGCCAUAAUUUUGGCUACAGUACGCGACGUUGAAGAUUGGAACAUGUUAACAAAACAAAGGGAAAAAUACGAAUACCAAACCGUAAGACACCUUAAGUUGUCUAUUAUCUUUCUAGUUUCAAUAAAUGGUGCAGAGGACGGUCAUCCAGACAAAAACGACACAUCUCGGAGUUCAAUUUAAUCCAAACGUUCUUUAAGUCUUCUGUUCUGACUUUAACAUUAGUCAAAGGAUCUAUUUGAUACGCCGUAGGGUAAACAUACCGGAGUUGUCGUAAAACGCCUCUAAAGACGUUAAAAGAACCCC
rnacentral:rRNA from 1 species